GGAUGAGACUACAGGAGUGAACUGGCAUUACAGAUAUCUGACCUUUGCAUUAUCUGGGAGAAGACAGACCCUGAACAGAAAGCUGGUGUUACCAAACUUCAUCAAAUUCCUGCAGUAACCUCCAAUAUGUAAAGUAAAAAUAUUCAAGGCAAAAUUGUAUUACAGUUUCCUCCAGAAGUCGGAAAUUGUUUGUUACCCAAACUUAAAAUGGGGACCAAAGCUAUACAGCAGUCCCUUGUUCUUUGCUGAAGAUAUAUUCCAGAAAUGACUGUGAAGCCCCAAAACUGCAAAGAUUAUUUUUAUAGUACAGAAAAGUCUGAGCAGUUUUGUUUCCUUAUCUAGUCAUGGCAAUGCAAUGGAAGCACAGUUUUGAAAUCAACCAGCUGACAGUAACGAAUUUGUAUCAAAAAGAACGGAUUAAAGCAGGACAGGAAAUUGGGACAGCAAGGGACCUGUCACAGGUUAGAUUUGGAAAGCAAAAUAUGUUGAAAUGGAUUGAAAGUUACACCAAAGUCAAACACCCUCAACUGAUCGGCUACAGAGAAAACAGCAUUGCUUAUGAGAACAGUUGUGAACUUCACACAUUAGAAAUGAUGUCAGAGCCUCUGAAGAGGCGCAGACGAAAUAUAUUAGAAUGGUACGAGGGAUGUUGGGAUGAACAUAGUGUGCUGUCUUCCAGAGACUGAAUAAAAUCAAGAGGAGAUCUCUAAUAGUUUUGACAGAGUAAUUAAGUAGGAAUUGAUUCCAACGACAAAAGGUACGACUGACAUAGAACCAGAAGCGAUCAGUUUUUAAUUCAUAGGUAAUAUAUAGUACAAGUGGAAAGGACAGAUUAAUAGAAUGGUUACAGAGUCAAUGGACCGAAUAACUUCCGCAUACAUCAGUCAAAACUCUAUGCAACAGCAUAAACCAAAACUCAUACAACAGAACAGAGACAUUUAGCUCCAGCAAAAAUGAUAGAUUUCAUUAUUUAUUGUUUGAUACUUUAGCUGAAUACCCAAUGGCAUCUGUUAUGCUUCAGUGAAGAAAGUGAAGGGCUGUGUUAGGGAUGUUAUACUGGGGCAGCUGAGAACACUUCAGCAGAAAACCAGGGAGUUGAAAGUCAAAUGCGUUUGGGAUUAUACCUCUAAUUUAACUCAAUACAAAUAUAGCUCAAUUUAUUUGAUUGAUUGUCUGUGGAAAAGUCACACAGCAGAAGCCAAACACUUUCAAAAAUAAAUAUACUCUGUAAUUUGUUGAGCUAGGUGCAUGGCCAAAAUCUUGUUGUGAAUUAAGCUGUUAUGUAUAUCCUACAAGGAUUGGCUGCUACUAUUGAGAAAUACAUCUGACAUAACCACUAUAUAUACCUGAAAUAUAAUCACUAUGUAUUAGCUAUUUACUAUACUAUGUAAUCACUUCCAGGUACUGAAUAUUAGUAUGUAUUAUUUUACUAGACACAUUUUGUUAUUUGUUGUUUUCACUAGAUACUUUAUACUCUCUUAGCAGCAUAUUAUGGCACUUACAGAACACCUGUUUGUUUAGCAGCACUAUUACCCCAUGUAUUACACUCAGCCUUUGUUUAGUACGAGAUAACGGUGGUGGACAGGAUGGUGCGAGCAGGAAUGUAAUGUGAGGGAGGUUGUCUGGAAAACAUAAUCUUGGCCACGAAUAAGGUCCCAAUGCGAAUGGGUGAAAAAUAAUGGUGACGCACCAAGAGCUGGGCAAGAGCGAUUGAUUAGUUAAUAUAUAGAUGAUAUGCAAUUAUAAAUUGAUUGGGUAUGCUGAUGAAACCGAAAUGUAA